UCGUGCUAGGCGGGGAGCUAGCGGUGCCCUGUACCCGCAAGCCGCUUUAGCGGGGCCGAAUUCCCGCUCGAGGUCGGGCGCCGCGAGGACUGGCCGCGCCGGGUGGCGUUGAUGGCCUGGUCCUGCGCGGCGAGGCGCUGUGAACCCCGUCAGGUCCGGAAGGAAGCAGCGGUAAGCAGUUGCUCUCGGGUGCCGCAGGGGCGCCUGGCCGGAGCGACCGGCUGAGGAAGCGCUCGAGUCUCCCGCGGUCAACGGCGGGUGCGCGG
rnacentral:SRP_RNA from 1 species